rnacentral:rRNA from 1 species
UACGUAGGGUGCGAGCGUUAAUCGGAAUUACUGGGCGUAAAGCGUGCGCAGGCGGUUCUGCAAGUCAGAUGUGAAAUCCCCGGGCUUAACCUGGGAACUGCGUUUGAAACUGUGGAGCUAGAGUACGGCAGAGGGGGGUGGAAUUCCACGUGUAGCAGUGAAAUGCGUAGAUAUGUGGAGGAACACCGAUGGCGAAGGCAGCCCCCUGGGCCGAUACUGACGCUCAGGCACGAAAGCGUGGGGAGCAAACAGG